AGAGUUUGAUCCUGGCUCAGGACGAACGCUGGCGGCGUGCCUAAUACAUGCAAGUCAACUGAAGCAGUUGUAGCAAUACGGCUGUGGAGGUGGCGCACGGGUGAGUAACACGUAGGUAACCUGCCUUCAGGUCUUACAUAACCCCGAGAAAUCGGGGCUAAUAGAAGAUUAUGCAGCGGCUCGGCAUCGAGACAGUUGUUAAAGCUUCGGCGCCUGAAGAUGGGCCUGCGUCCCAUUAGGUAGUUGGCGGGGUAACGGCCCACCAAGCCUUCGAUGGGUAGCUGGUCUGAGAGGAUGAUCAGCCACACUGGAACUGAGAUACGGUCCAGACUCCUACGGGAGGCAGCAGUAAGGAAUAUUGCUCAAUGGGAGAAAUCCUGAAGCAGCAACGCCGCGUGAAGGAUGAAGACCUUAUGGUUGUAAACUUCUGUAGAUGGGGAGAAAUUUCCGGCUCUGCCGGAUUUGAUAGUACCCAUAAAGUAAGCCCCGGCUAACUACGUGCCAGCAGCCGCGGUAAUACGUAGGGGGCAAGCGUUGUCCGGAUUUACUGGGUGUAAAGGGUGCUCAGGUGGUUGCGCAAGUCAGAGGUGAAAUCCUAGAGCUUAACUCUGGAACUGCCUUUGAUACUGCGCGGCUUGUGUACGGAAGAGGCUGAUGGAAUUCCUGGUGUAGCAGUGAAAUGCGUAGAUAUCAGGAAGAACACCAGUGGCGAAGGCGGUCAGCUGGUCCGUUACAGACACUAAAGCACGAAAGCGUGGGGAGCGAACGGGAUUAGAUACCCCGGUAGUCCUAGCCGUAAACGAUGGGCACUUGGUGUCGGGGGUAUUGAGUCCCCUGGUGCCGGAGUUAACACGUUAAGUGCCCCGCCUGGGGAGUACGGUCGCAAGACUGAAACUCAAAGGAAUUGACGG
rnacentral:rRNA from 1 species